AUGUGUCCAUACACGGAGGACGAGCUCUCGCCUCCUUUCUCGCUCGCCGCCGCCACCACCCACGUCGGCCGCUUCUCUGGGGACCUCCAGCGCCGUCCAGCAUGCCCCCGAGCUCCCCACGGUCCACGCCUCCCUCCCCUCCGGCCAGAGUCUCCGCUCCCGUCCUCUACCGCCCGCUCGCAAGCCCAUCCCCCAUGGCUAGGGUUUCGGGGGAUAAACAAGGGGAGGUAUAGCAGGGCGUUGGACAUUUGCGGGAGUGGGGGAGAUCGAUGUGGACGAGGACUGUCUGGUGCACUGCUGGUGCGGGGAGGGCAUGGGAGAGGGAUGGCUGCUGCGCUGCUAUUAGCUGGAUAUAGCACUGCUCCUUUCCUGUUGUUUGUUGAUUGA
rnacentral:rRNA from 1 species